rnacentral:rRNA from 1 species
UACGAAGGGGGCUAGCGUUGCUCGGAAUCACUGGGCGUAAAGCGCGCGUAGGCGGAUUGCUAAGUCAGGGGUGAAAUCCCGGGGCUCAACCUCGGAACUGCCUUUGAUACUGCAAAUCUCGAGUCCGAUAGAGGUGGGUGGAAUUCCUAGUGUAGAGGUGAAAUUCGUAGAUAUUAGGAAGAACACCGGUGGCGAAGGCGGCCCACUGGAUCGGUACUGACGCUGAGGUGCGAAAGCGUGGGGAGCAAACAGG